GCAUAACAGUCUGACAAGGAGACUCCACCAGGCUCCACACCCCUGCUACAAUGAGUCGUUUAUUCCCUGAGGAAAGCAAUGCUCCAGCAGCAAAGGUACGGAGACUCGGCAGGGAGCAGUUCCAAAGAGGCCAGCUGAGAACCAGAGAGGAGAGAAGUCAUGCCCACUGGACACAGAACGCCAGUCCUUCCCUCUAACCCAGGAUGGCAGUGGCAAUGCCUCGGCCACAGAGGCAGGCAGAUGGCCAUUUUCUAGAAAAAUCAGCCAGCCCCAAGUAAAACAGCCUCAGAAACCGCCUUCUGCUGGUCCCUGACCUCUUCACACACCAGCUAUGAUUGGAGUUGCACUCUUCUCUCAGAACAAACAGAUGCCAGCAGCCACUUACACCUGUGUCCAUUCGCAUCAGCACCCAUCUACACCAGCAGCCAUUUUACCAGCCAGAGAGGAUUUUGCAACCCUAGAGGAAAGCACAGCCAGCCAGCUCUGGAUAUAUACCCAGGCUCGUAGCACAGAAGCUUCAACGUGCCCCACAACUGGCCUCCAAGAGAACUCUUUGGUUAACCUGCCAGCCACAAGAGCCAGUGUCAGGCAGACAGUGUUUCUGAUGUGAUGGUAUGCCAAGGACCAGUGACCAGCAGAAGAAAAGCAUUUGAACCUGAACAUCACCAAGCUAGCCUGCAUGGCCAGGCAGGAAAUAGGCAGAGUUCACCCUGAACUUAGAUUCUGAAUUCAAUCAGCAGCUGUGGCACCUGCUGCCCCACCCCUAUGACCUGAAGCUCCUUGAGCAUAGGCUUCAUGCUGAAUAGGACUCCUCUUGCCUUCCUGAAAAGCUCAGGGUCAUCACCACCUACUUAGAGAAGGGCUGGAAGCAGAUGGUGUCCUUGUGGAGCCUAAGAGAGAAAGAACACAGAUGCUCCUCUACUCUACCAUCGUCCUGGAGCUGGGAUUUCAGCAUGUGACAUUGAGAAUGAUACAAAUAAUUCUGACCACAGUGACUAUGAAGCAAAAUCCCCUACAUUACAGUUCCGUCGAAGAGCAUGAAAAAGUCAUUUCAGGAAAUGCGGGUGCUUUCUGCUCCACUGCUGCUGCUGAAGCCACUGCUAUGCUACCAGGAGAGUGGCUGGAAGCAAGCUUGCAGAAAUCAAGCAGAGGCAUGCCAUUGAGGGUCCUCGCCCAUUGCAAAGCAAGGCCUGCUGGUCUCAUCUGCCUCUCCUCAAAACCUUCACAAACACAGAUACCACCCCCCACCUUCACCUCAACAACGAUCAAGUCCACUCCUCUGAUGGCAGGACCUCACACACUCUUCUGAGUGGCUUCCAGCCCAUGUUCACCAGUGUUCAUGGUAUCAGGAUGCUGCUACAUUCUGGCUCUGCUCCAUGUCCUGAGAAUAGAGGGUGAACAGGUGAAGAGCACCCUCAGGGAGGCUCUACCAGAGGGUGGAACCCACACAUCGGGGAUCGGAGGACAGUUGAGUGUGCCUUGGGACGCAGCCAAGGGCUCUUCACCUUGUCCUGGGACCCAGGGACUGUGUACUGUGUUUAUUUCCUAACAGC